GUUAUGGUAACCAUUUUCACUUUAGUAUAAAAACAUAAUUGUUUAAACCAAAAAAUAUAUACGAAGGGUAUCAAAAUGAAGUAAAAUAUGUAUUCAUCAUUAACCUAUAAACAUACAAGUAAUUAACAAACUAUCCAAUACAUAUAUAAUGAGAAAAGAACAAAACUAGCCAAUACAUAUAUAAUGAGAAAAGAACAAAACUAGCCACAUUUCGCAAUUGUCCACCAUGACAUCACUAUUCGCUGCAAAUUUACUUUUAUAAACAGAGGCCUUUCUUUGAUUUUACCACCACAUAGUGUAUUUCAUUGUUCUGGUGGG
rnacentral:lncRNA from 1 species